GUGUCAGCAGCCGCGGUAAUACGUAGGGGGCGAGCGUUGUCCGGAUUCAUUGGGCGUAAAGCGCUUUAAGGCGGUUCGCUAAGUCGCGUGUGAAACCUCCAGGCUCAACCUGGAGACGCCACGCGAUACUGGCGUGACUAGAGUUCGGUAGGGGAUCACGGAAUUCCUGGUGUAGCGGUGAAAUGCGCAGAUAUCAGGAGGAACACCGGUGGCGAAGGCGGUGAUCUGGGCCGACACUGACGCUGUAGAGCGAAAGCGUGGGGAGCGAACAGGAUUAGAUACCCCCGUAGUCC
rnacentral:rRNA from 1 species